CCUUUGGCGUAAGACCUCGUCUCGCCGUAGCUUGCCGGCGGGUGGGGUCUUGUGCUGGCCGAGGGCCGCCAGCUGCCAGAAUGGACAUGGCGGCCGGACGCACCGGAGUUCUGCUGGCUGCCCUUGGUGUGCUUAUUGUCUGUGUGGCCAACGGCUCUGGGCCUGUGGCUGAAGGAGAGGCGAGCGGGGAGGUGGAGUGGGUGGAGCCAUGGGACGGCGCGGUUUUCCGGCCGCCCUCGGCCCUGGGCGCGGUGGGGGUGGCGCACAGAACCGGGACUCCGCAGCUGGGAAGGCAGGAGACAGCGGACUUGCCGGUGCUGCUCUGGUGGAGCCCUGGACUAUUUCCCCAUUUCUCAGGCGACUCGGAGCGCAUUGAGUGCGCGCGCGGCGCGUGCGUGGCGUCUCGCGACCGACGAAUGCGGGGGAACACGCAGACGCGCGCGCUGCUUUUCUACGGCACCGACUUCCGCGCGUCUGACGCGCCGCUGCCGCGCCUGGCACACCAGAGCUGGGCGCUUUUACACGAGGAGUCGCCCCUCAACAACUUCUUGCUGAGCCACGGCCCGGGCAUCCGCCUCUUCAAUCUUACCGCCACCUUCAGCCGUCACUCGGACUAUCCCCUACCACUGCAGUGGCUGCCCGGGACCUCCUAUCUGCGCCGCGCGGCGCCUCCUCUCCAGGAGCGUGCUGAGUGGCGCCGUCGCGGCUACGCACCACUACUCUAUCUGCAGUCCCACUGCGAUGUGCCUGCGGACCGGGACCGCUACGUGCGCGAGCUCAUGCGUUACAUCCCGGUGGACUCCUACGGCAAAUGCCUGCAAAAUCGGGAGCUGCCCACCGCGCGGCUUCAGGACACGGCCACAGCCACCACUGAGGACCCAGAGCUCUUGGCUUUCUUGUCCCGCUAUAAGUUCCACUUGGCCCUCGAAAAUGCCAUCUGCAACGACUACAUGACAGAAAAACUGUGGCGCCCGAUGCAUCUGGGUGCUGUUCCAGUGUACCGCGGCUCUCCUUCUGUGAGGGACUGGAUGCCGAACAACCACUCCAUCAUCCUUAUUGACGACUUUGAGUCCCCUCAGAAGCUGGCAGAAUUUAUUGACUUUCUGGAUAAGAAUGAUGAGGAAUAUAUGAAAUACUUGGCAUAUAAGCAACCUGGGGGCAUCACCAACCAGUUCCUUCUGGAUAGCUUGAAGCAACGGGAGUGGGGAGUGAAUGAUCCUCUACUGCCUAACUACCUGAACGGCUUCGAGUGCUUCGUUUGUGACCACGAACUGACUCGGCUGGACGCCGUGAAAGCCCAUGCAGACUCUCCUGGGGACAUCCCUGUCCCUGAGCCUCACAUUGCCCAACCCGCUCACAUGGACUGCCCAAUGCCCAAACCUGGCUUUGGUAACUUGGAAGAGAUUCCUGAGAAUGACAGCUGGAAGGAGAUGUGGCUGCAGGAUUAUUGGCAAGGUCUGGACCAGGGAGAAGCUCUCACUGCCAUGAUCCACAACAAUGAAACUCAGAAGAGUAAAUUUUGGGAUUACCUGCAUGAGAUCUUCAUGAAAAGGAACCAAAAUCUCUAACUGCCCUUGUAAGAGCUUUUUACUUGGAAGAUCUAAGGAGAUCUUAUUUUAUCAUGGCAUACUUUCUUUUUUCUUUUUUCAGAGACAAGGGCUUACUGCAUUGCCCAGGUUGGCCUUGAAUUCUUCCUGCCUCAGCCUCCCAUUUAGCUGAGACUAAAGGCACAUGCCAUUGUGCCCAGACAAACAUUCUCUUAUCAUGGAUUUAGUUAUCUUAAUGAUGUGUUACCAAGGUCUCAACAUGUGGUAAUAGGUCUCCAGGAGAGAUGGAGGCAUCCAGUUCUUGGUUCAUUGGGAAACAGAAGCCUAAAACACCCAUUUGACACAAGGUGCUGGCCCAAAAGAGUUUUUAAAGGACUGUUCACUUCUCUAGCUCUUUCAUCCUCUCAAUUUUGAGUUUUCGGCGGACACAACAUCUUUGUAUGUGGUGCUGAGGAUCGAACCCGGGCCGCACGCAUGCCAGGAGAGCGCACUACCGCUUGAGCCACAUCCCCAGCCCUCUGAUCUAUUUUAGAUCAAAGAUGGAGACUAAAGUUGGAAAUUACAGCAGAAAAAGUUGAAUAGCCCAACUAUUCCAUACAGCUUUGUGGACAGAGAAUUACUGUUAGAUGGAGCACACCCAAAGCCCUAAACUCAGAGAUGAAGAGGCAAGGCAAGAAAUUUAAGCCACCACAAGUGGCUGGCUAAAUAAAAACCUUAGAUUUAGGGAUGCAGCCAAGCCCUUCUAUUCCUGUGGCUCAAACAGAUAGUCUAGUGAGUAAGGAGACCAUGAGCUUUCCCUGGAGUAGUGGAACAAAAAAGAAUACUUUGGAUAUUAGAGCAACUCUGGUUGUAAUAUAUUAGCAAAUUACCACUGGAGAAGUUCUGUAGCUUAUCAGUAUAUCUGAUUAUAAAAUUAUAUAUGUCCAUAUCUAUAUGUAGAUAGGGAGAUAUAUAUGCAUGUUAGAUGCUUCAACAACUAGGUCCAUGUUUAACAUUGUAGCAUCUGUGGAUGUGAUCAAGAAAAACUGUAAUUUAGGCUGUAUUUCAUUGCCAAGGUUGUUUUUUUUUUUUUUUUAAAUGGUGCUGAGGAUUGAAUCCAAGGCUGCGAACAUGCUAAUAAGCAUGAGUUCUGCCUCUAAGCUACACCUCCAGCCCUUCAUUUUACACUUAAAAUGAUAAAAGAUGUCCUUUAUCAUAGUAGGAAAAGUUUUCAUAACCUGUUUUGUCUCUUGCAGAAAAGAACAAAAAAAGACCUUCAAAAAUACAUCUGUUAAAAUUUGAUAUAGUUGGCACCCAUAAAAAACACACACAGGACUCUGAUUUCUAAGCUUGCAAUCUGUUUCAGUGCAGAUGCUGAUUCACAUUGCAAAAUACAUAUUGCAUAAGUGCAAACUUAGGUUAGAACUCAGAUUGCAUUCUGUGCAAUAAAAAGGGUAAGUGAUGGUUAUGCAAGAAGUAGAAUAAUCCCUACCUCUCCUAACUGCCAGUUCACAUUAGCAUUCCUUUAGCACUUUUAUACACAAAGUAGGCCAUUUGUUUUUGAAUGGUUUGCUGAAGACUCAGGCCUGCUUUGUGCUCAGGUCUUCCCAGACUUUCUUCCCUAUUCCUUUUAACCAUGUAAGUAUUCACAAAAAGCAGGGUAAAUCAGGUGCUAUGUUUCUAUAUGGGAAAAACAAAAACAAACAAAAAACUACUAGGAAUGGCACCCUGGUACUUAUCAAUUAAAAGUUUCACUUUCCCUAUGGAGAAAGCAAGCAAUGUUAAUUUUUUUGUGGUUUGGGGCCCAGCUUGCUGUGUAUACAGCAGCAGUAUAUUUGCUGCAGGCUGUGCUUACUGAUGGUAGAAGUGCCUGGUAGGAAUCUUUCUUAUUUACACUGUGCUCUACUGUGGGGGUAGAGCACAAGGCUAAUGUCUUUAUUCCUGCAAGUGUUGCUAUUUUUAUUAUCUCAGGUUUCAUUUUGUAUAAUAAACUGCUUUUUAAACAA